AUACGGAGGGUGCAAGCGUUAUUCGGAAUCACUGGGCGUAAAGGGUGCGUAGGCGGUUUGAUAAGUCUGAUGUGAAAUCCUAUGGCUCAACCAUAGAACUGCAUUGGAAACUGUCAGACUAGAAUACUGAAGGGGCAGAUGGAAUUAGUGGUGUAGGGGUAAAAUCCGUAGAUAUCACUAGAAUACCGAAAGCGAAAGCGAUCUGCUGGGAAGUUAUUGACGCUGAGGCACGAAAGCGUGGGGAGCAAACGGGAUUAGAAACCCUAGUAGUCC
rnacentral:rRNA from 1 species